GACGAACCGUCCUAACGUUGUUCGGAAUCACUGGGCUUAAAGGGCGCGUAGGCGGGUUCCCAAGUCGGUGGUGAAAUCUUUCGGCCCAACCGGAAAACAGCCGCCGAUACUGGGAGUCUUGAGGGAGGUAGGGGUCGAUGGAACUUCCGGUGGAGCGGUGAAAUGCGUAGAUAUCGCUUGGAACGCCGAAGGUGAAAACAGGCUGCUGGGGUUGUGCCGACGCUGAGACACGAAAGCCAGGGGAGCAAACGGG
rnacentral:rRNA from 1 species